rnacentral:lncRNA from 1 species
AUGGCUCUGGGCAGACAUCUCUUCCUGGGGGGACUCUGUGUCCUCCUCCUCAGCACCAUGGUGGGUGGUCAAGCUCUGGAGCUGAGGCUGAAGGAUGGAGCCCACCGCUGUGAGGGGAGAGUGGAAGCGAAGUACAAAGGGGAAUGGGGCACAGUGUAUGCUGAGUACUGGCUCCUAGCAGGUGUAGAAGAGGUGUGCAGACAACUGGAAUGUGGAGUUGCCAUUGAUGCUCCCAGAGGGUCUUAUUUUGGACCAAGACUUGGCCCCAUUUGGUUUUUAUAUAUUUCCUGCGAGAGUAGAGAGGAUGAAUCAACUUUGACUCUCUAUGAGUGUGUUCAUGUUCAUUUUAAAAACUAUAAUGACACCUUCUCUCAUGACCAGGAUAUUGGAGCAGUCUGCUCAGGAUCUGUGCGUCUGUUUGGAGGGGAUAGACCCUGCUCAGGGCAUGUAGAAGUACAUUCUGGAAAAGAAUGGAUCCCAGUGUCUGAUGGGAAUUUCACACUCCCCACUGCCCAGGUCAUCUGUGCAGAGCUGGGAUGCGGCAAGGCUGUGUCUGUCCUGAAACACAUGCCCUUCAGAGAGUCUGAUGGCCAGGUCUGGGCUGAAGAGUUCAGGUGUGAAGGGGAGGAGCCUGAGCUCUGGGUCUGCCCCAGAGUGCCCUGUCCAGGGGGCAUGUGUCACCACAGUGGAGCUGUUCAGGUUGCCUGUUCAGCAGCGUACUCGGAAUUGCGGCUCAUGACAAACGGCUCCUCUCAGUGUGAGGGGCAGGUGGAGAUGAACAUUUCUGGACGAUGGAGAGCGCUGUGUGCCUCCCACUGGACUCUGGCCAAUGCCAAUGUUGUCUGUCGACAGCUUGGCUGUGGAGUUGCCAUCUCCACCCCCAGAGGACCACACUUGGUGGGCAGAGAUGACCAGAUCUCAGCAGUCCGAUUUCACUGUUUGGGGACUGAGUCUUUCCUGUGGAGUUGCCCUGUGACUGCCCUGGGUGGUUCUGACUGUUCCCAUGGCAACAUGGCCUCUGUGACCUGCUCAGGAAACCAGACCCAGGUGCUGCCCCAGUGCAGUGACUCCCUCCCUGAACCAACAGGCUCUGCAGCCUCAGGGGAGAGCGCCCCCUACUGCUCAGACAGCAGACGGCUCCGCCUGGUGGACGGGGGCGGUCACUGCGCCGGGAGAGUGGAGAUUCUUGACCAGGGCUCCUGGGGCACCAUCUGUGAUGACGGCUGGGACCUGGAAGAUGCCCACGUGGUGUGCAGGCAGCUGGGCUGUGGAGAAGCCCUCAAUGCCACGAGGUCUGCUCACUUCGGGGCAGGAUCAGGGCCCAUCUGGCUGGAUGACCUAAACUGCACAGGAAAGGAGUCCCACGUGUGGAGGUGCCCUUCCCGGGGCUGGGGGCGGCACGACUGCAGACACAAGCAGGACGCGGGGGUCAUCUGCUCAGAGUUCCUGGCCCUCAGGAUGGUGAGUGAGGACCAGCAGUGUGCUGGGUGGCUGGAAGUUUUCUACAACGGGACCUGGGGCAGUGUCUGCCGCAACCCCAUGGAAUAUAUCACCGUGUCCCUGAUCUGCAGACAGCUUGGCUGUGGGGACAGUGGAAGUCUCAACCCUUCUGUUGCUCUUAGAGAAGGUUCUAGACCCCAGUGGGUGGAUGGAAUCCGCUGUCGGAAAACAGACACCUCUCUCUGGCAGUGUCCUUCUGACCCUUGGAAUUACACUUCCUGCUCUCCCAAGGAGGAAGCCUAUAUCUCGUGUGAAGACAGCAGACAGCUCCGCCUGGUGGAUGGAGGAGGUCCCUGCGCCGGGAGAGUGGAGAUCCUUGACCAGGGCUCCUGGGGCACCAUCUGUGAUAACGGCUGGGACUUGGAUGAUGCCCGCGUGGUGUGCAGGCAGCUGGGCUGUGGAGACGCCCUCAAUGCCACGGGGUCUGCUCACUUUGGGUCAGGAUCAGGGCCUAUCUGGCUGGACACACUGGACUGCAGAGGAAAGGAAUCCCACGUGUGGAAGUGCCCUUCCCGGGGCUGGGGAGCGCACAACUGCAGUCAUAACGAUGCCGGAGUCAUCUGCUCAGGAUUUGUGCGUCUGGUUGGAGACAACGGACCCUGCUCAGGACGGGUAGAAGUACGUCCUGGAGAAGAAUGGACCCCAGUGUCUGACGGGAACUUCACACUCCCCACUGCCCAGGUCAUCUGUGCAGAGCUGGGGUGCGGCAAGGCUGUGUCUGUUCUGGGACACGAGCUCUUCAGAGAGUCUGAUGGCCGGGUCUGGGCUGAAGAGUUCAGGUGUGAGGGGGAGGAACGUAAGCUCUGGUGGUGCCCCAGAGUGCCCUGUCCAGGGGGCACUUGUCACCACAGUGGAGCUGCUCAGGUUAUUUGUUCAGGUGAGAUGCAGGUCAGGACUAACGUCCCUGCACACUUUGUUCAGGUGAGAAAUCAUGAGAUUUUUCUGAAUUUCUGUCUUCUUCUACCAGUGUACUCAGAAGUCCGACUCAUGACGAAUGGCUCCUCUCAGUGUGAAGGGCAGGUGGAGAUAAACAUUUCUGGACGAUGGAGAGCGCUCUGUGCCUCCCACUGGAGUCUGGCCAAUGCCAAUGUCGUCUGUCGUCAGCUCAGCUGUGGAGUCGCCAUCUCUACCCCCAGAGGACCAUACUUGGUGGAGAGAGGUGACCAGAUAUCAACAGUCCGAUUUCACUGCUCGGGGGCAGAGUCCUUCCUGUGGAGUUGCCCUGUGACUGCUUUGGGUGGUCCUGACUGUUCCCAUGGCAACACAGCCUCUGUGAUCUGCUCAGGAAACCAGACCCAGGUGCUGCCCCAGUGCAACGACUCCGUGUCUGAACCAGCAGGCUCUGCGGCCUCAGAGGAGAGCGCCCCCUACUGCUUAGACAGCAGGCGGCUCCGCCUGGUGGAUGGAGGAGGUCUCUGUGCCGGGAGAGUGGAGAUCCUUGACCAGGGCUCCUGGGGCACCAUCUGUGAUGACGGCUGGGACCUGGACGAUGCCCGCGUGGUGUGCAGGCAGUUGGGCUGUGGACAAGCCCUCAGUGCCACGAGGUCAGCUCACUUUGGGGCGGGAUCAGGGCCCAUCUGGCUGGACGACCUGAACUGCACAGGAAAUGAGUCCCACGUGUGGAGAUGCCCUUCCCGGGGCUGGGGGCGGCACGACUGCAGACACAAGGAGGACGCGGGGGUCAUCUGCUCAGGGAGAAGACCCAAGAGCUGUCCAGCUGCUGCCCCCUGCACAGACAGAGAGAAGCUCCGGCUCAGGGGAGGAGACAGCGAGUGCUCAGGGCGGGUGGAGGUGUGGCACAGCGGCUCCUGGGGCACUGUGUGCGAUGACUCCUGGAGCCUGGCAGAGGCCGAGGUGGUGUGUCAGCAGCUGGGCUGUGGCCAGGCCUUGGAAGCUGUGCGGACUGCGGCAUUCGGCCCUGGAAACGGGAGCAUCUGGCUGGACGAGGUGCGGUGCCGGGGCCGGGAGUCCUCCUUGUGGGACUGUGCUGCAGAGCCCUGGGGGCAGAGCGACUGCAAGCACGAGGAGGAUGCUGGUGUGAGGUGCUCUGGUGCAAGGACAUCUUUGCCCCCAACUACAACAGGGACCAGACCAGCUUUGAAUCCUCUGCCUGGCAUCUUCUCCCUGCCUUGGGUCCUCUGCCUCAUCCUGGGAGCCCUACUCUUCCUGGUCCUCAUCAUCCUGGUGACUCAGUUGCUCAGAUGGAGAGCAGAGCGCAGAGCCUUUUCCAGCUAUGAAGAUGCUCUUGCUGAAGCUGAGUAUGAAGAGCUCGAUUACCUUGUGACACAGAAGGAGGGUCUUCUGGACGUUGCAGGCUUCCUGUCAGAUGGUGAGGACGACGAGGACUCCAGAUCCACUCCAGAACAUCAGAGGACUGAUGCCCCUGGUGAGGGUUAUGAUGAUGCUGAAGAGGUACCAGUGCCUGGGGCUCCUCCUGCCUCUCAGGUGAGAGAAGAGGAAGUGCCCCCAGAGAAGGAAGAUGGGAUGAGGUCUCAGACAGGCUCUUCUCUAUUCGUCUUUGGAGAGGAAGCUGAUCCUGGGGAAGGAGAAGAGAGCCCAUGGCUGCUCCAGGGGGACAAAGGUGACCCUGGGUAUGAUGACAUUGAUGUGCCCCAGGAACAGUGACUUUCCCAUGAUGUUGUAUUAAAUAUGAGAUGAAGCCUCAGAUAUUCUAAUUGCCUGUAUUUCAAUACAGUAAUGCUGACCUGUAAUUGUGUUAUAUGGACAUUGUUCAAAAUGAAACAUUCUGAAUAAAGUAACUUUUUGCUGUGUUGCUAAUUUAGCA